rnacentral:rRNA from 1 species
UACAGAGGUCUCAAGCGUUGUUCGGAUUCAUUGGGCGUAAAGGGCGCGUAGGCGGCCUGAUAAGUCGGGGGUGAAAUUCUGCGGCUUAACCGCAGGACGGCCUUCGAGACUGUCGGGCUUGAGCACGGUAGAGGCGGUGGAAUUCCCGGUGUAGCGGUGGAAUGCGUAGAGAUCGGGAAGAACACGGUGGCGAAGGCGGCCAGCUGGGCCUUGGCCUUGGACGCUGAAGCGCGAAUGGACGGCUGGGGACGGCAAA